CCCUUAGAUGUUCUGGGCCGCACGCGCGCUACACUGACGAAUGCAACGAGCUUAUAACCUUGGCCGAAAGGUCUGGGUAAUCUCCAAAUUUCGUCGUGAUGGGGAUAGAUUAUUGCAAUUAUUAAUCUUCAACGAGGAAUGCCUAGUAAGCGCAAGUCAUCAGCUUGCGUUGAUUACGUCCCUGCCCUUUGUACACACCGCCCGUCGCUCCUACCGAUUGAAUGGUCCGGUGAAGCGCUCGGACCGCGGCCUCUUGACGGUUCGCGGUCGAUUGGCUGUGGGAAGUUCGUUAAACCUUAUCAUUUAGAGGAAGGAGAAGUCGUAACA
rnacentral:rRNA from 1 species